GAGCGUGGCUGGCGCCCAGCGCUUUCACCCUUCUGGAAGGUGGGUGCACAUUCCACAGGUGCGCAGCUCCACCUGGAAACAGGACGCCCCCUGGCAGCACUGAGCUCCGGGACCCAGCCCUCCACCGGGACGCGGGUUGCUCCCUCCGAAGCCCUGCCUGGGGCUGCAGGGGAGUUCUGGUCCCUUCCAAGGCCAAGGUGCCCUGGCAGGGUGGCGGGCGCCCGGCCUGCCGUGGGCUGCAGGCUCCGUCCCAUCCUGGCAAUGGCCUGGCGGCUGCGGGGCAGGCGCAGAGCCCCCGCUCUCCUCCCGGCCGGGGCUGUGCUGGGUCUGGGCGAUGCUCAGAAGGAGAACUACUCUCCUGAGAUGUAACUCACUUGGUAGAAUACUUGGAAUACUGAAAUCCUCUCAUUUUUAGGACAAAAUUGGACUUGUAUUUCUCUAUAACAAGUACUAGACCUAGAAAAAUACAAAGAGCUCCAUAAUAAUGCGGCAAAAUGUACCCUGCAAAAUCACUUAUCUAAAGUUUUCCACUGUAAAACAAAAGCACAUCCAAUGAACCUGGUGGAUUUUGGGGAAGAAAAGCCGCCGCCUCUUUCCCGGAAGUCUGACGGAGCCGAGUUCCCGGACUGCCGGCCGCGGCCACAGGGAGCGCCCCCCGCGCCCCGAGCCCGCGUGCUG